ensembl:lncRNA
CAAACUCUGAGCUCGCCCAUCCCUUUGGGACCCUGCUGGGAUUUCUGCACGUGGGUGAUCCGAGCAGCAGAAUGGGUGGGUUGGAUCCAACUCUACUUUGAUCAGUGCUCCAAACAGAGAACAGCCCAUAGCACAGCUUUCAAAACCAGGGCAAAGCAGCCCGAGGUGGUUGGAAACUCAUUGGUGAGGCCACGGCUCGGGCUGAAGUCAUGCUGGUGCCUGCAGCUGAGCUCUGGAUGCAGAUCUGAGCCACUCCACCAGCAGAAAGCGGUCGGGUUUUCAGAUCUGCAAACAGAAAUGGUGAUUAGAGCUGAGCCCGUGCUCGGUGGAGUGCUCUGCUCGUAGUUCAUUUGGGGGCUUCUCCUCCUGCAUCUGGCACAUCUGUGGAUGGAGAUCCUGCCAUGAUGAUCAAUGAAGACUGAUGGAAAUUCCCAUUCAUCAGCCUCAAGGUGUUGUGCUGAGCACUGGCAGCUCAGGACCUGUUUCUGGGGGCAGGUAGCGCUCUCUUUCUCAUCUUUUCCUGCUUAAAAUAAACAAAACCAACCAUCUUUCCCUCCCCUGAAUCUUGUCCAAAUCCAUUCCCUGGCCCUCUGCCUCGUUUCUGAAUGACUCCAUGGGAGUCCUUGAGUCUCAGCAUUAUUAUAUUUUAUUUAUACAGCACAAUAAACGCGCGUGGCACUUUCCAGCAUACAUCAAACAGCAAGGUCCGUUUUCUGAUGAGUGUACAGUUUGAUUCAGGGAAAAAAACACUGUAUAUAAAACAAACAGCCUCUCAGCCUGGUGAGGAGACUGAGGGCGCUUUGCUUUAUUUCCUCAACCCCUAAAACUGAAACAAGCAGGAAAAAGAUCAGUGUUUGUAGGCACACAUUUCAUCUCACGCAGCCCCUGGGUGGAAAUGGCUGAAGCUGAGCGCUCUGGGAUGGCUCCAGCCAAACACCAAAGCACCUUUGUGUGUUCUGUUGGCUGGAGAGUCCCAUGAGAAGGAAUGGUGAAAAAGGAGGCCAAAGGGAUUUCAUGGAGUCAUAGAAUCUUGAUUUCUCUGAGCAGCUGCGUGCCGUAAGCCCAACAAAAUGCCAGGUAUCAAGUGGCGAAUUGGUUAAUUUUGGAAUCAGCCUAAGAAUGCCUACUGAUAAAGGACAGAUUUGUUUUCCAAAGGCUUUCCAAAGAGAGCUUUCUUCGGGCACAGCUACACUCACCCGAACAGCAGUGGGUAAAUGCACGGCUCAAAGGAACAAAUGAGCAACGCGGUGCCUGAAGGCAUUGUGUUUCCCCACCGAUGAGCUUAAUCCAAAGCCUUUUCCUCCCCGAAGCAGCUGAAAAUCUCUCCUGGGAUUCUGGAGAUCUUCACUCCCCCCUCCCGACCUCAGCGCUGCUUUGAAGCCACGAAGGGCCGGCAGCCAACCCCGGAGAUUUCAGCACAUAUUUUCCCUUUGGCUACAGCAGAAUCCACAUCAUCAGCACCGGUUGCACCGCGGCGAGAUGUCGAUGCCGUGCAGCAUCACAGAGGUGACAACGCGACAGCAGCACUGGGAUUUCUGUGUGAGGAAUUGUGGUGAUUGUUCAUUUCUGCGCCGCGCUGAACACGUCCUCAGAGACAGAUGCUGCUCCGCAGAGCUGUCAGCUUGUCACUCAGCAGUGGUUUCCAAAGGCAACCAAGUCAAAGUGGUCCCAGGCAGCGCCUGAUGGGUUUUUGAUACCAGGCUGAGCUCCCAGGCCAGAGGCAGAGAUGCUCCUUGUGGAAACGUCCAUUUUUCAUAGUAUCAUAGAACCACUGAGGUUGGAAAUGACCUCUGAGGUCACCAAGUCCAAGCCCAACCCUCUCCACUAUGCCCACUCAUAGAAUCCUUGAAUUAUUAAGGAGAAGACCCACCAAGUCCAACCAUCAUCUCAUCCUCCUAUUCGCACUCAUAGAGCCAUUAAGGCCAGAAAAGAAUUCCAAGAUCCCCAACCCCAACCCAUCCCCACCAUGGCCACUAACCAUGUCCCUCUGAAAAACCCUUUGGCUUAAUUUAUGAGAUACCAGCAACAAGUCAUGCUGGAAAGAAGUCUGCGCACAGACCAUCCGCUGUCCUUGUUCCUGUGUGACCAUCAUGGAGCCCUCCAUGCUCUUCCUCCCACUGUGUCACAAGAACAGGAGCGUGGGGAGGGGUACGCAGUGCCCCGUGCUUGUGGGUGUGUCGGUGUAAUGCACUGCAGCUUCUAAGGAGCAGCCAAUCUCAAUAAAAGAAAAGAGUCCAAAUGCUCCCCUGGUGUCUGUUUGCAGUGCGCUUAUGGGGCCCGAGGGAAAGCAGGGAGGGAGCAGAAGAGCGCUGUCUGCAUCCUAUGGCCAGGAGCUAUUAGGGGAUGAGGCAACACUUAUCACAUUAGAGAACAACAGCACAGAGCAUGGGGCACACUGUGCUCCCAGGCUCACACACACACACACACACACACACACACACAUACACACACGGAUGCUUUAUAGGGCAGCAGAAUCAGCAUUCACUUUACCACUGACCUGGAUUGUGAGCAUGAUGGAACUCCGACGCUGCUCUGAGCUCAUGGCAACCAACGCAUGCCUGGGGCAAUGCUGCUCACAUCACCCCACUGAGCGGUGUGAAUGGGGUCAGACGUCGGGUGGUGGAGUUCCUGUGCUCAGCCAAAGUCCUUUGGAAAGCAAAAUGGGAACAGAGCAAAGAGGCAGCGUCCAGAGG